rnacentral:rRNA from 1 species
CCUACGGGAGGCAGCAGUGGGGAAUAUUGGGCAAUGGGCGCAAGCCUGACCCAGCAACGCCGCGUGAAGGAUGAAUGCCUUCGGGUUGGAAACCUCUUUUGACAGGGAAGUAUAGUAGAGGGUGUAUUCCGCAUUGCAUUUACCUUACUACGAACGAGCGGCCGCGGUAAUACGGAGGGGGCAGGCGUUGUCCGGAUUUAGUGGGUGUAAAGGGUGUGUAGGCGGGUUGGGAAGUCAGUUGUGAAAGCUUGCGGCUUAACCGUAGAACUGCAUUUGAAACUGGCAAUCUUGAGUACGGGAGAGGUAGGCGGAAUUCCUGGUGUAGCGGUGAAAUGCGUAGAUAUCAGGAGGAACACCAGUGGCGAAGGCGGUCUGCUGGACAGUAACUGACGCUGAGGCGCGAAAGCGUGGGGAGCAAACAGGAUUAGAUACCCCUGUAGUC